GGAUGCGAUCAUACCAGCACUAAAGCACCGGAUCCCAUCAGAACUCUGUAGUUAAGCGUGCUUGGGCGAGAGUAGUACUAGGAUGGGUGACCUCCUGGGAAGUCCUCGUGUUGCAUUCC
rnacentral:rRNA from 1 species